AGCCAAAGUAGAAGAAGAAACCUCUUCUUCUAAUUCAAGCCUUCUCCAUUAAAUCUCUUCCUUCUUCUUCUUCUUCUCGUUUUUCUUUCAUAAAUUCCUAGCUAGGAUAGUUCUUCAUCUCCAAAAGGAGAUUCUUCAACCAAGAAGGGAUUCUCUAGUGGGUUUCAAAUAUAUACAAAGCCUUUCAAAUUCUCAAAGACCCUAAUGUAACGCAUGAUCCGAAUCCGAGGAGCAAAGUUGAACCAAGUUCGGGGAAAGCCGAGGGAUCGAGCCGUAUGGAAUAUAUGUGGAUUUUAAUAAACUUCCGUUUUGGUACUUGAAUCUUCUUAGUGGAUUGUAAUCCGUAAUACUUGAAUAUUUUAUCGGGAAACCAGUUUAACCCUUAUGUAUAAUGUAAUGUUUUCCGACUAUUCUUGUUAUUUUCUAAUGUUGAUUU